CCAGACAGAGGCAGGGUACGGGGCUAGCACGGCGUUCAAGGCUCAUCGUGCUUCAUCCCAGCUCACCUACUCAACUGGACUUUCGCUACCCACCUGCAGCCCUUCUGUGUCAAUCACCUGGGGCCUCUCACGGCUAGGGUUUCAGGUUUCAGUGUCCUUGUUCACCCUGGAAGCCUGAAAGUUCAAAACAACACCUGAUUCGCUCUUGUUCUCUCAUUCUGGAAUCUAUUUUCUCUCCUUUAGCUCUGAUUUAAAUCGAUUUUCAGCACGCUCCAUGAUGCAGAGCAAGUGUCUUCUCUUCCAUGAAGGCUUCUCUUACGGACCAAGACAAAAGCAUCCAAGCAGAUCUGGUCUUGAAUAUUGCUUCUGCAACUCUCUCUCACUUUGAUGUUGCAUAAGGGUGUUUUUUGUUGCUAAUAGAACUAAAAUCUCAGCACAUUCACUUCCAACCCAAAAUGAAAUGCAACCUUUCAGUGUGACGCAGGCUUUCUUCCUACUCUGUUUCCUGUCAUAAUCUAUGUUUUGCAAUUUCCUCCCAGAACACACUGAUAAAGAGAAGUAGAUGACAGUUAUUGAUGAACCCUGCUUCUGGCAGUUAUUAAUCAGCCAUUGACUUGAUGAAGCAGCCAUGGAUGCCACACCUGAUGGUGAGGCAUGUGACCUGGGGUCCAGCUGCCAUGGGUCAUCCAUGUGGCUUUGGGAGUGUUGGGAAGCUACUGCUUCAGCAUCUCCAAGGAACAAGCGUCCUGUGAGAGUGGAAGUGAGAGUGAACAUCAAGAGAUCAUGGAUUAAAUGGGAAAAUUAGUGUCAAGAUUACAUCAGAAGAAAGUGCAACGUGACUUUGACUAGAAAAGUCUUUGAAACUAGAACAAAAGAGCAAGUGGAAAGGGAGACUCAACUAGAACCAAGUAGCUACCACAUCUGACAGAAGAGUAGAUUAUUUGCAGUCCACUGAAGGAUGUGCUGGAUGAAGCAGUGUGUUUCCUCUCAUCACAUUGCCUGAACUCUAUUUAUAUAC
rnacentral:lncRNA from 1 species